rnacentral:misc_RNA from 2 species
AGUGGUGUUUGGUUUGAUACGGGUGGUCGGCUCCCUGCUUGAGCAGGCACGGCCACGCGUGCAUUCCUUUUCAGUUGUGCGGCAAGGCUUGUAUCGUCUUGAUCGUAUAAGUGGGUUUCUUGUGUUGCAUACCUGAUCAAUGGCAUCGUUUUGAUCAAAAUGGUACCUUUUUCGUCUGACGAUGCACUUAUUGUGUUGUCGGAUGAACCGUGUAGCAUCCUCUUUGAUCCAUACAGUUGACGUGUACUCGUUGAUUGUUUGGCCCGUUGAGGGUGACUUGGUCUCUCGGAUAUGGAAGCCAAAGUGGGCAUGGGUUCGCCAGAUCCCUUUAUUGCCCUCAUUGAGUGUUCUCGCUUCUCUUACACGACUGCCUUUCACGUAUGGCACGUCCCAGCGUGUUUGGCUAUGUCGAAGAGGAAU